rnacentral:rRNA from 1 species
GACCUCAAAUCGGGUGAGACUACCCGCUGAACUUAAGCAUAUCAAUAAGCGGAGGAAAAGAAACUAACAAGGAUUCCCCUAGUAACUGCGAGUGAAGCGGGAAAAGCUCAAAUUUAAAAUCUGGCGGUCUUUGGCCGUCCGAGUUGUAAUUUAGAGAAGCGUCUUCCGCGUCGGACCGUGCACAAGUCUCCUGGAAUGGAGCGUCAUAGAGGGUGAGAAUCCCGUCUUUGGCACGGACGCCCGAUGCUUCUGUGAUGCGCUCUCGAAGAGUCGAGUUGUUUGGGAAUGCAGCUCAAAAUGGGUGGUGAACUCCAUCUAAAGCUAAAUAUUGGCGAGAGACCGAUAGCGAACAAGUACCGUGAGGGAAAGAUGAAAAGCACUUUGGAAAGAGAGUGAAACAGUACGUGAAAUUGUUGAAAGGGAAACGCUUGAAGUCAG